CCGAGCCGGUUGCCUGAUGCGACGCUGGCGCGUCUUAUCAGGCC
rnacentral:misc_RNA from 1 species